GUUAGGAUAGAUGGUGGGGCUGAGAAUGAGGACAGAUACAAAAUGGAACAAGACAAAGUCAGGACUCCUGAGGAGCCCCAAGUCAAGAGCUGCAAAGGUGCCCUCACAUCAUUUCAGGCUCUUUUGCAUACUUAUGUUCUAUAUUCCCUACUAAAACAGCCUUUAGCCAGAGUGCAUUUUGUGGGUGGGAAGGAGGGCCCUCUCCUAUGUCUCAUGCAUUAGGCUCUGGGUGUAUGCAGCCCAACUCGGUAGACCCCCUAAAUUUGGUUCAUGGUAGUUGGCUGUGCCUAGAGCAGAGGAGAAAGAUAUCUAAUAUGCUGCUUAGAGAUAGAACUCAGGGUGGUGGGAUGGAGAAUGUGGGGAGCUGGAAGGGUUUAGAAUGGAACUUUGUACAACCAGCUGGUCCACCAAAGGCCUGCCUGUUUGAAGACUGUCAAUCCAUCCCCACACCUUCCCAGGCAUCACUGAACUGGAAGUCAGAAGCUUUACAGAGUCUCUAGUCCUGACUUGGAUUGGGCAUGAGGGAAUUCAGCUGGUCCAGCAUGAGCUGAGAGCAAAGACCAGAACAUCAAAGACCAGAACAUUGAGUCAAUGAUUACGUGAGAAGGGAAACCUCAGACUUGGGAGGGAGGGAGGCCAAGGGUCUCCUACCUCCCCCAAACUCCAAUUUUGUACUGUAGUGUAUCCCUACCAACUCUCUCUCUCUCUCUCUCUCUCUCUCUCUCUCUCUCUCUCUCUCUCUCUGUCACUACUACUACUACUACUACUACUACUACUACUACUACUACUACUACUACUAUCUGGAGAAUGGGACAGAAAGGGAAUGGGAUGGGAUAAGGGCACAGAUUGGGGUGAAGCAGAAUAGGUAGGGAUGAGAAUGGAAUUGGGGAAGAGAAAUGAUUGUAAGGGAAUGGGAUUGGAAUAGAUGGGGAUAGGGAUAGAAUAGGUUUGUAAUGGGAGUAGGAUAGGACAGGAUUGAGAAAGGAAGGGGAUAUGAAUUGAAUUGAAUUGGCAAAUGGGGAGGAACAGUCAGUCAGUCAACAGGCAUUUAUUAAGUCCCAAUAAUUCAACAGGCAUUCUGUUAAGCACUGGGGAAUACAAAGAAAGGCAAAAAUAGUCCCUGUUCUCAAGGAGUUUACCAUAUAUUGGGAGAGACAACAGGCAAACAACUGCGGACAGGAUAAGUGGAAGGUAAUAACUGAGGGAAAGUACUAGUAUUAAGGGAGACUGAGAAAGGCUUGUUGCAGAACAUGGGAUUUUAGCUGAUACUAGAAGGAAGCCAGAAAGUAGAGAGGAGAAAAGAAAACACAGGCACAGCCAAUGAAAAGGCAUGAAGUUGGGAGAUGGACUGUCCCCUGUGAAAAACAGCAAGCAGACCAGUGUCAGGAGCAGGAAGAAGGAAAGUCAAGAUGGGUCAGUUCUAGAAUAGAGAGAAGUAAACUUCUGUCUGUCCACCCAUAGUGGAUAGACCACUGGACUUGGAGUCAGAAAGACAAGCUG
rnacentral:lncRNA from 1 species